AUGGAAAACUCUAUUGUAAGAGUAGCAACAUUCAUCAUGCGAAAUUUUUGAAUGAGUAAAAAUGAGGUGCACAUAAGUAUUUACAAUGAAUCCGUUAAAAAUGCCGCCAUUCGAAGAAGAAUUUGAAGCAUCGUAAAUGUUUGAAUAGCGUCAGGACGAACUUAACGAUUACUUUGAAUUUCCUUCAAGAAACAAUUGUUGAUUUGAUGUUCCUUCGCAAAACCAGAUUUCUUUACAGCUUCAUACCAGCACAAGAAAUGUACCGCAGGAAAUUUUCUUGACCAUUUCUAAACCGUUUUUUAUAUGAAGUUUUUACAUUUCUUGAGAGCUGGAUACUAAGUUAUAAUGUAAAAAACAUGUGUACAAACGAUUUAAUGAAGUGUUAGUAAAUA